rnacentral:tRNA from 1 species
UCCAGGAUAGCUCAGUUGGUAAAGAAUUUGCCUGCAAUGCAAGAGACCUGGGUUGAUUCCUGGGUCUGGAA